CGAGCGCUUCACUUCGGUGAGGAGCGGCGGACGGGUUAGUAACGCGUGGGAACAUACCCUUUUCUAAGGAAUAGCCACUGGAAACGGUGAGUAAUACCUUAUACGCCCCUCGGGGGAAAGAUUUAUCGGUGAAGGAUUGGCCCGCGUUAGAUUAGAUAGUUGGUGGGGUAACGGCCUACCAAGUCGACGAUCUAUAGCUGGUUUGAGAGGAUGAUCAGCAACACUGGGACUGAGACACGGCCCAG
rnacentral:rRNA from 1 species